UCAGAGCAGCAGGAACAGGCAGGAACCCGGGUUCCCUUGGCAACGCAGACAAUGGCACCUUCUCAGUACAGGCUCCUGCUAAAAGCAUUAAGGGAAAGCAUUAGAGCCUGGACUGCCUUUUCUCUGGUCCCAGGGGUCCUUCCUCUGAAGCUCUGGUUCAUUCCAAAACACACACCACAGCUCCCAACCCCAAAUCACCCCUUUUUUUGGAGGGCUUUUAUGGAAGGAGGGGAAGGGAAGAAAAGGGAACUCCCAUUCCCAUCAGCUUCAAUGGAGGCGGGGUAAGAUGGGGAUGAAGCCUUGGGAUGAAGGAAGAGUUCACAGCCAACAACCAUUCCCAGUUCUCCAAAUUCCCCAAGGGAAAUCAGGGACCAUGGCGAGAGGCAGGCAUUCUUCCUAGAACUGCCCCUAUGGAGGCAGCCACAUCUCUACCUCAGGGUGGCACUUUAGACUUCAAAGAUCUGGUUCGGGAAUUAGAAGAUGUGGAUUCAAUAAUUCCUAGAUUUAGUGCCACAUCAAUCAAACUAGCAAGGGAUUAAUUCAUAGAACUGGAAAGAAUAAUAAUCAGAUUCACUUGGAGAAACAAAAGGUCAAGAAUGCCAAAAGAAAAUAAUGAAAAAAGAGAAAGAAUAAAAGGGGCCUGACAGCA